GAUGAACGCUGGCGGCGUGCCUAACACAUGCAAGUCGAGCGAACGGACGAGAAGCUUGUGUUUUUGAUGUUAGCGGCGGACGUGUGAGUAACAUGUGCAUCAUCCACCUAUCUGUCUGGGAUAAUCUCGGGAAACCGGAUCUAAUACCAGAUAAUAUUUUUAACCGUAUGGAUCAUAUGUGAAAGACGGCCUUGCUGUCUCUUAUAGCUGGAUCCGCGCUGGAUUAGCUAGUUGGUAGGGUAACGGCUUACCAAGGCAACGAUGCAUAGCCGAACUGAGAGGGGGAUCGGCCGCACUGGAACUGAGACACGGUCCAGACUCCUGAGGGAGGGCGCAGUCGGGAAUGGUCCGCAGUGGGCGAAAGCCUGACACAGCGACGCCGCGUGAGUGAUGAAGGCCUUGGGUUCGUAAAGCCCUGUUGUUGGGGAAGAACAUAUGUGUGAGGAGAUGUAGCCAUCUUGGCGGUACCUAAAGAAGAAGCACCGGCUAACUACGUG
rnacentral:rRNA from 1 species